GGGUCAGUAGGUUGGUCGUGCCACCGGUACGUACUGGUCUCACUGAUUCCUCCUUCCUGAAGAACCGUAAUGCCAUUAAUUUGGUGUUGCGGGGAAACAGGACUGUUACUAUGAAAAAAUUGGAGUGUUUAAAGCAAGCUAACGCUUGAAUACAUUAGCAUGGAAUAAUGAAAUAGGACGAUCGAUCCUAUUUUGUUGGUUUCUAGGAUUGACGUA
rnacentral:rRNA from 1 species